rnacentral:lncRNA from 12 species
GUGGUUGGCUGGGUCGGGGUGGAGCGGUGGGUAGAGCCGCAGGACAGUCCAGUGCCCCGACGCAGAGGGCUUCGGCCCGGCUCCACCCCGGCCAGAGGCGCGGCUCUGUCAGUGCCUUUGAGACUGACUGGUCGGGUGUCCCUGGGCGCUUCGGGUUCUUUUCCACCUGGCCCGCUUUUCUCUUUAGGCCAAGUCAACUUGGUGUCUGGGUUUUCUUCUCUUUCUUUUUCUCUUAUUUUUGGUUUGUUUUUUUAGGUUUUUUUUUUUUUUUUUUAUAACUAAAACAUGCAAACCAAUACAGACAUUGACAGCGAUAAAUCCCCACCUCCCUGUGACGGUAACAGAGUUCCAUGGGCCAAGCCCCAACAGCGGCUGAGCCUUUGGAGAGCAGCCCUGACACCUGUCCCAGGAGACAAGUCCUGUGCAGGGAAAGGAAUUCCAUCUGGGCUGGUUUGGGCUGCGAAAGGGUUCCAGGCUUAUACUCCUUUGUUGGAGGGAUUUUUCCAGAAGCUGAAUGAAGGCACUGCUCUUCCUGUAAGACCCUAAACUCCAUGCAGGAGAGGGAGAGAGCCAUACCUCCCAUGAUGGGAAGAGUGAGACGAACAAUUCUCUUUGAGAAUGGCCGAAUGGAUGACUGUUGGCAGUUGCUGAGCCUAGCGAAACCAGACCUAAAUGUAGCCAAGUGUGGUAGGAUGGUUCCCUCGAGCACAUUUUCUAAAAAUUUGGCCUUUUGAACCAUUUUAAGCCAUGUAUUAGCAUAGCUUCUGUGAAGAAUAGGGCAAAAAGGGGAGAGUAUGAGAUACAUCAUGGAGUAGACAAUGAUGCCCACUCCCCCACCACCCAAGGGUGACAUGGGCUCUAUCCUUAGGCAUUACCCCGCAUGGGGAGGAGUGGUCUGUCUGCAUCUAAGAUUGGAGCCUGCAGUGUGGCUGUUCCCCGGGAGCUGUGAACAGACCUCAGAGUGAUGGCUGAGUGGUGUACCUGGGAGCCAGCACCCAGCCACGACCAUCCCUGCUCUGGCAAGGACUCCUGUGCCUACAGGUGGCAGGAAAACAGAGGAAUACUUCUGAGCUGCCUGCCGUCCUGAGCCUCCUCAUCUGUCUAAGGCCCGAGAGAAUGUAGGGAUGCUUGCAGCAGCUCCCGUGGACCUGGGACCAGAGGCCCUGUGUUCUCAGAAUCCUCCUCAAACCCCUGGGCUUCCAGUGCAAACCUAGGAGCUGGAAUUUCCUGCUCUUCUGGCAGGAUGAGAGCUUAGCACCGAGUUCAAGAAAAUAAAAUAGAAAGGUGUAUUUUUACA